rnacentral:misc_RNA from 1 species
AAGUCGUAACAAGGUUUCCGUAGGUGAACCUGCGGAAGGAUCAUUACCUAGAGUUGUAGGCUUUGCCUGCUAUCUCUUACCCAUGUCUUUACAGUACCUUCGUUUCCUCGGCGGGCUCGCCUGCCAAUGGGGACCCCAAUAAACCCUUUGUAAUACCUGUAAUCGUCUGACAAAACAAACAAAAAUUAAAACUUUCAACAACGGAUCUCUUGGUUCUG